CUCUUUCUUCACCUGUAUGGUGCAUCUAGUGAUUUGUUUGUUGUCUGUGUGCCAUGUUCGUUUAUUUGCUUUGAACCAUAAGCACUGUGGUGAUCAAGGAUCACUGAAACUUUCUUUUUCAUUUGUCUAUUAGAUUGCACCUGUGAAUUGGAAGUGCUACAACAGGGCUGCUUUGUUUGAUGAGGCCAAAUAAAAGCACAUGGAAU
rnacentral:lncRNA from 1 species